rnacentral:rRNA from 1 species
ACGGGUGAGUAACGCGUGGGAACAUACCUCUUGGUUCGGAACAACACAGGGAAACUUGUGCUAAUACCGGAUAAGCCCUUACGGGGAAAGAUUUAUCGCCGAGAGAUUGGCCCGCGUCUGAUUAGCUAGUUGGUGGGGUAAAGGCCUACCAAGGCGACGAUCAGUAGCUGGUCUGAGAGGAUGAUCAGCCACGUUGGGACUGAGACACGGCCCAAACUCCUACGGGAGGCAGCAGUGGGGAAUAUUGGACAAUGGGCGCAAGCCUGAUCCAGCCAUGCCGCGUGAGUGAUGAAGGCCCUAGGGUUGUAAAGCUCUUUUGUACGGGAAGAUAAUGACGGUACCGUAAGAAUAAGCCCCGGCUAACUUCGUGCCAGCAGCCGCGGUAAUACGAAGGGGGCUAGCGUUGCUCGGAAUCACUGGGCGUAAAGGGUGCGUAGGCGGGUUUUUAAGUCAGAGGUGAAAUCCUGGAGCUCAACUCCAGAACUGCCUUUGAUACUGAAAGUCUUGAGUAUGGGAGAGGUGAGUGGAACUGCGAGUGUAGAGGUGAAAUUCGUAGA